UAGGGCGCAAGCGUUAUCCGGAAUUAUUGGGCGUAAAGAGCUCGUAGGCGGUUUGUCGCGUCUGCUGUGAAAGACCGGGGCUCAACUCCGGUUCUGCAGUGGGUACGGGCAGACUAGAGUGAUGUAGGGGAGACUGGAAUUCCUGGUGUAGCGGUGAAAUGCGCAGAUAUCAGGAGGAACACCGAUGGCGAAGGCAGGUCUCUGGGCAUUAACUGACGCUGAGGAGCGAAAGCAUGGGGAGCGAACAGGAUUAGAUACCCUGGUAGUCCAUGCCGUAAACGUUGGGCACUAGGUGUGGGGGACAUUCCACGUUUUCCGCGCCGUAGCUAACGCAUUAAGUGCCCCGCCUGGGGAGUACGGCCGCAAGGCUAAAACUCAAAGGAAUUGACGGGGGCCCGCACAAGCGGCGGAGCAUGCGGAUUAAUUCGAUGCAACGCGAAGAACCUUACCAAGGCUUGACAUGAACCGGUAACGCCUGGAAACAGGUGCCCCGCUUGCGGUCGGUUUACAGGUGGUGCAUGGUUGUCGUCAGCUCGUGUCGUGAGAUGUUGGGUUAAGUCCCGCAACGAGCGCAACCCUCGUUCUAUGUUGCCAGCGGUUCGGCCGGGGACUCAUAGGAGACUGCCGGGGUCAACUCGGAGGAAGGUGGGGACGACGUCAAAUCAUCAUGCCCCUUAUGUCUUGGGCUUCACGCAUGCUACAAUGGCCGGUACAAAGGGUUGCGAUACUGUGAGGUGGAGCUAAUCCCAAAAAGCCGGUCUCAGUUCGGAUUGGGGUCUGCAACUCGACCCCAUGAAGUCGGAGUCGCUAGUAAUCGCAGAUCAGCAACGCUGCGGUGAAUACGUUCCCGGGCCUUGUACACACCGCCCGUCAAGUCACGAAAGUUGGUAACACCCGAAGCCGGUGGCCUAACCCUUGUGGGGGGAGCCGU
rnacentral:rRNA from 1 species